rfam:Hypsizygus marmoreus strain 51987-8 scaffold_0, whole genome shotgun sequence.
GCCCGCCUAGCUCAAUCGGAUAGAGCGUCAGACUCUUAGGCGGGUUCAUUCACUGCGGUGAUCUGAAGGCUGCGAGUUCGACCCUCGCGGUGGGCU